UGUUUCACACUUCUGUCCUCUCUGGAGGUGACCGAUCACCUUGUGACCCUCCCUCCUUUCUCCCUUGUGCUCCGGCCAGCACGAGUACAGUGGCAGAUGCCUACCGCUGGCGCAACCACACCGUGGGCAACAGGACCGUGGUGGAGGAAGGCUACUAUUAUCUCAAUAAUUUUGACAACAUCCUCAACAGCUUUGUGACCCUGUUUGAGCUCACAGUUGUCAACAACUGGUACAUCAUCAUGGAAGGCGUCACCUCUCAGACCUCCCACUGGAGCCGCCUCUACUUCAUGACCUUUUACAUUGUGACCAUGGUAGGUCCCGGACCACAGAACGCUCUGUCCUUCGUCUUCCACAUCACCAGCUGCCCCUGCUCUUCAGCCUGCAGCGUCAGGGAGUGGGGCCGGGUCCCAUCUGGCCGGGCUCUGUUGGGCGUGGGCUGCGCAGCCACGGACACCUACCCACCCUCCUCCCCUGCCUCUGCCCCUCCCUCCCUAUCCCUGGCCAGGUGGUGAUGACGAUCAUUGUCGCCUUUAUCCUCGAGGCCUUCGUCUUCCGAAUGAACU
rnacentral:sRNA from 1 species